rnacentral:rRNA from 1 species
GCAAGUCGCGCGAGAAAGUUCCUUCGGGAACGAGUACAGCGGCGGACGGGUGAGUAACACGUGAGCGAUCUACCCGACGGUGGGGGACAACCCAGGGAAACUUGGGCUAAUACCGCGUACAGCGGAGGGGGUAAAGACCCUCUGUGAAAGCUGGCCUCUCCUUGGAAGCUAGCGCCGUCGGAUGAGCUCGCGGCCUAUCAGCUUGUUGGUGGGGUAACGGCCUACCAAGGCGAAGACGGGUAGCUGGCGUGAGAGCGUGGUC